CAUGCAAGUCGAACGCUUUGUGGUUCAACUGAUUUGAAGAGCUUGCUCAGAUAUGACGAUGGACAUUGCAAAGAGUGGCGAACGGGUGAGUAACACGUGGGAAACCUACCUCUUAGCAGGGGAUAACAUUUGGAAACAGAUGCUAAUACCGUAUAACAAUAGCAACCGCAUGGUUGCUACUUAAAAGAUGGUUCUGCUAUCACUAAGAGAUGGUCCCGCGGUGCAUUAGUUAGUUGGUGAGGUAAUGGCUCACCAAGACGAUGAUGCAUAGCCGAGUUGAGAGACUGAUCGGCCACAAUGGGACUGAGACACGGCCCAUACUCCUACGGGAGGCAGCAGUAGGGAAUCUUCCACAAUGGGCGAAAGCCUGAUGGAGCAACGCCGCGUGUGUGAUGAAGGGUUUCGGCUCGUAAAACACUGUUGUAAGAGAAGAAUGACAUUGAGAGUAACUGUUCAAUGUGUGACGGUAUCUUACCAGAAAGGAACGGCUAAAUACGUGCCAGCAGCCGCGGUAAUACGUAUGUUCCAAGCGUUAUCCGGAUUUAUUGGGCGUAAAGCGAGCGCAGACGGUUAUUUAAGUCUGAAGUGAAAGCCCUCAGCUCAACUGAGGAAUUGCUUUGGAAACUGGAUGACUUGAGUGCAGUAGAGGAAAGUGGAACUCCAUGUGUAGCGGUGAAAUGCGUAGAUAUAUGGAAGAACACCAGUGGCGAAGGCGGCUUUCUGGACUGUAACUGACGUUGAGGCUCGAAAGUGUGGGUAGCAAACAGGAUUAGAUACCCUGGUAGUCCACACCGUAAACGAUGAGUGCUAGGUGUUUGAGGGUUUCCGCCCUUAAGUGCCGCAGCUAACGCAUUAAGCACUCCGCC
rnacentral:rRNA from 1 species